ACUUGUGCUCUUCAGAUAUGAUUUCUCCUUGAACAUCUUUUGAUAAACAGCAAGAUGGUGUGAUCUUGAUGUAUAUGAAAAAAACUUCAUUCUUGUGAGUCAUUUAAGUGUGUACAGUGUACACACUGGUACUAAGAGUUUCUGUUUUAAUUCUUUUUUAAUAAACUCCCCUUUGAUUUAAAA